rnacentral:rRNA from 1 species
AGCGAACGUUAGCGGCGGGCCUAACACAUGCAAGUCGAACGCGAAAGGUCUUCGGACUGAGUAGAGUGGCGCACGGGUGAGUAACACGUAGGUAAUCUACCCUUUGGCGGGGGAUAACGUUCCGAAAGGAGCGCUAAUACCGCAUAAGACCACGGAGUCUCCGGACGCUGGUGGGAAAAGGUGGCCUCUUCUUGAAAGCUACCACCGAAGGAUGAGCCUGCGUCCCAUCAGCUAGUUGGUAAGGUAAUGGCUUACCAAGGCGAAGACGGGUAGCUGGUUUGAGAGAAUGAUCAGCCACACUGGCACUGGAACACGGGCCAGACUCCUACGGGAGGCAGCAGUGAGGAAUAUUGGGCAAUGGGCGAAAGCCUGACCCAGCCACGCCGCGUGAGUGAUGAAGGCCCUCGGGUCGUAAAGCUCUGUGGAGAGGGACGAAAACCCUGGUUUCAAAUAGGCUCCAGGCUUGACGGUACCUCUUUAGCAAGCACCGGCUAACUCUGUGCCAGCAGACGACGG